GUGCAGCAGUCGCGAAAACUUUACAAUGUGCGAAAGCACGAUAAGGGAACUCUGAGUGCCUCCUAAGGGAGGCUGUUCAGGUGUCUAAAAAGCACCUGAAGGAAGGGCUGGGUAAGACCGGUGCCAGCCGCCGCGGUAACACCGGCAGCCCAAGUGGUAGCCACGUUUAUUGGGUCUAAAGCGUCCGUAGCCGGCUGGGGUAAGUUCCUUGGGAAAUUUGGCUGCUUAACAGUCAAGCUUUCAGGGAAUACUGCCCGGCUUGGGACCGGGAGAGGUCAGAGGUACUCCAGGGGUAGGGGUGAAAUCCAUUAAUCCUUGGGGGGACCACCGGUAGCGAAGGCGUCUGACCAGACCGGGU
rnacentral:rRNA from 1 species